UAAAGGUUAGGCAAAAAGCUUUAUCAUGAUUGGACUGUGCCUGACUUAAACCCAUGUGUUUGUGCUUUGUAAUGUGUUUUUUAAACACAUUCAGCAUGCAUGCAAACUUAUUACAUUUUGUGAUGUUAACCAUGCUUAUUUUUGACAAUUACCUGUAUUAUACAGCAAUUCUUUUCUUUGAAAAAAAAGUCAAAGAGAAAACCUCAGUGUUAUAUGGGGCAGAUUGGGCCUUGGAAAUCAUUUUUCGACAGUGUUAUGUUCUUGGUGACAGUAUCUUUCUUUGAUUUUAUAUUUGUUUCCACAUACAUUUACUAAUAUGAAGCAUUUCUUGUUUUGCAAUGGCACUGUCCGUAGUUACCAAUUAAUUCUUCCAUUUUUUCAGAAGAACAAUGUGGCUUAAAAGAGUACCCAUUGAAUUGGAUGCUGUGAAAUUUAAAAUUUUAAUCUCGGUUUAGUACUUAAAUAUUUGGCUUUGGGGAACCAUCCUGUGCCUCUGUUCUUUGAAGUGGAAUGUAAAGUGGGCAUAAAAAUACAUACAUCAAAGAGGUCUAUGAAAAUUCAUGUUUUUAAUAUCUUUAAAUUUUGAGUUAUAAUGAUAUGAAAUUUAAAUAUUAGUAUUCAUCACUGCAGAAUGCAGUGAACAAAGCUAUAAUUAAUUUUACAAAAAUGACUGUUCAACAGAUGAGCCAUACAUAUCUUAAUUAACUGCAGUGCUUAUAUGUAAUUAGGUCUCUAGGAUGCCUUUUUUUAAAGUACUUUUCACAGAACAAUGGGAUAGGCAAUUUUAUAUUAAAUAUUCAGUAUAGGCAGGAUAAAAGAAUGGCAGUUGUUUUAACACCUCUCAUAAAUAUAAAGUUAUGUAGCUAUUGAAAUACAUUUGUACAUUUGCACGACACAUUCUGUUCCAUCCCUCUAGGCUGAUUUCUAUGACUUUAUUUCAUAAUAGUUCAUAAAAGGUAGUCCGUUUAGUUGAAAGACUAGUCCAGUUACAAAUUCAGCAGUCUGUAAAAAGGUUGGAUGUAUGAUAUCUUAAAGUCUAUUAAAAGUCCAUUAAUGUCUGAUCUUGCUAAUUUCAAGUCUGUAACAGAGAACCUGAGUGACAGACAGAAGUCAAAUGUUUGGGGCUUUUUUUUUUUCCCUCUAAAAAAUUAAUAAAUUCUAAGGGUAAAAAUUACCAAUAUUUUCAUUCAGAAUUACAGACAUAGACCCUAGUGUUUCAUAGCUGAAAAUGUAUUGUCUUGUUUCUGUCUUCAUCCCCAUAGUCAGAAAAGUCCGCAAAAUCUUCCUAUGAAGUAGUAGUCUGAAUUUUAGGCAAGAUGAUUAACAGCUUCAUUUCUUUCCUCAAAAAUGGUUUGGUUCUUGCUUUUGUCAUUUGAUACUUACACAGGAGUAUAUGUUGUAUGAUCUGAAAGAUGCACCAUGCAGCAAGAUCAAGAACAGGACUAGAAUCUGUCACAGACUAAAAUAUCUUGCAAAGUCAUUCUCCAGUCAUGCUUUGUUAUGCCUCUUAUCUGAGAGAUGAAUUUUAAGAGGGGUAUUAAGAGAGGAUUUUGGAUUUUGCUUGCAGGUUUAUCUUCUCUGAUAAGGGAUGAUGAUGGGAAAAGUAAAUUAUUUUUUGGAAAUUGUGCAGUCAAAGCCAAUAUUAUUAUGACAAAAGCAGGAGCAGUCAUGUGAUAACAGAAGCAUUAGGUCUAAACUUUUAAGGGUUAUAUCAAUGAAAAUGGAAGUUAAUGGGAAGAUAAAAGAGAAAUUGAUUCAAUUAAGUAAUGAAGCAGGAAGAUAAUUUCAUGUGGAUCAGUAUGAGAAAAUAAGACUUGUAGGCAUUGAAGCCAAAGAAGAUAUUAUCAAUGAGCAAGAUACUUAGAUUUUUGUUGGUCAUUUUAGAGGUGAUUUGCAGGAAGAGACAAUGUAAUUUAGUGUCCAGCCUAAUUAUGAGAGCUAAAGUGUGACACAAAGAUGUAACCAAUAUUAUGGAUUAGAGUAUCAGAGAGGACAGUGAUGCUCAUAGGUCUGUUCAUGUAGUAAAGAGGAAACUUCAGCACAGAAAAAAAGUUGAGUUCAUUUGGCGAUGUUAAGUUCCUAUUUGGACAAUCCUGAAUAGACUUUAGAAAGACAGGAUUACUACUCUAACUUGGAUGGAUGAAAUCCAAGUUAAAGAUGUGUAUUUAUGAAUCACUAGGGAGAUAUAUAUAUAUAAUUAUUGCCAUGUUUAUACCAUUUGAAGAAUCUCUUCAAAUACUGGGUCACAGAAAGAAAGUGUUGAUAUUUCAGUCUGAGUUGUCCUGCAACUGAACAGGGAAAGGGAAAAAAAGAAUGAACAUGUAAGAGGAAAGAAGCAAUAUGUUGGAGAAGAGGCUUUCUAGAGGAAAGACAUAAACAAUGUCAAGGACAUCCAAUAUGCAAUGUACAGUGGUGGAAUAAAUGUUCUGAAUUUUAGCCAAUAAAUCUAUAGAUAGUUUGAUACUGGUUGCAUAUGUAAAGUAGACUCAAAUGUACUCAAAGUGGACUUAGAGCAUUAAGGCAGCACAUUCUAUGGUUUGGGAGGUGAAAGUGGGAAAGGGAAGCAAGGAGGGAAGAAAUGUAACCAGUUCUAGGCAUACACAGUGGAAGAGAUUGGAACAUAAUUGUCCAAUCAGGGAAGAAGUUUGUGGAAAUAAGAAGAAAAAAUGAGCAUAACUGCAGAGCUGGGGAUUACAUUCAGGUGUUGAUGACUGGUUCCAUUUGCUGUAACAUCCACAGCCACCUCCCUUUGUAGCAAGAUUAUAUGACAAGCUAAAUAAAAUAAACUCUCUGUGCUGUACUGCAGAAUUAUGAGGAUGCUUGGUUGUUGUUUGGUUGGUUUUCUUCUUCAGUUGAAAUCAAGUUGUAAUGUUAUUGCCUGAUUUUGGAUAACAUGCAUUCAAAUAUUAAAAGAAGUAAAUUUAUUGCAUCUAGAGGCAUAAUAUCUGCAGCAGAAUAUAAAAAUACCACAAUGAUGCGAAAGGAAUUUGCAUCGCCUACUAGAAAUUCGUACCAUCUGUUGGCAGAAGAGGAAAAUAGUCUCUGUGAAGCAUCCAAAAUGUUGUCAAAUCCAAAGGAUGUUGAUACAUUGCAAAAUAAUUUUCAUAAUGAAGACUUUUCAGUGAGAAGUUCUUGUUCCUCCCUCAGGCCAAUCCCUUGAGAGGGGUGAGCAGAAGUAAUGUUGGUCUGACAGGAGGAUACAGAAAACUGUGUGCUGUGAGUCAUUGUGUAUCAGUAAUUUUCAUUUUAAUUCACACCUAAGCUCAUAUAGGUUGAGUUUAAGUCAAUAGCUAUAUUCUGAAUGAAUUAAUUUUCAAAGAAUGCAUGCAUAGAUAUAUUUAUAGUUAUAUGAAAAUAAAGAAAACAUGGUAUGAUAAUUCAGUGUGAAGUUGAGAGAUUGAGGUAACACUGAGCUUACUUAAUUUCUUGGCUUGUGACUAUUUAUGGUAAUUUAUUUAUAAUAAAUUUAUUUAUAAGCAAAGAUAUGAUGGCUUUGGGUGCUUUAGAGUAAAUGAUAGUUUGAAUCUCAAACAUAUAUAUAGAAAUCUCAAAUUUCAAGCAUAAUUUUAAAUUAUGGGCUCAUUAAAGUUGUUACCUCAUACUAGUAGGGAUUUUGAUCCUUGAAUAAAAAGGAAAUGAAAAUCACACUAAACUUAGAAAAGUAUCCAUGGGCCACAUCUUUAAAAAUGUUUUAAUGCCUUAUGUGAUAUAUUUACGUCUUUCCCUAUUUACACAUUUAUAAUUUGCUCAAACCAAAGCAAAUUUCUUUAUAAUGUCCAUGAGUAUAUCUUCUCUCAGGUGGUUGUUCACAUUGCCAGUCUCAGGUUUUUGCCUUUAUUCUUACUGCUAUAUUCAUCUUGCUUAAUAUUUGCUGGGGUGGUGGUUUGCAGGGACUAAAUAUAGCUAAAAUAUCUUGGGGCAUAAACUGCCUGUAAAAUUCAAAAUGGAAAGUGAAAAUAUUUUUUAAUCUAACUUCAGUAGCUGUUGUAGUCUCAGACAUUUGAGGGAAGCUGAGGUUCAUGGAUCUAUUUAUACAUGGUUAAUUAUUGAAAAGAUUUAGUUUUGUUUCCUUAAAAAGUAAAUGAGAGUAAAAAAUGAGCAGUAGUACAAGGAAAAGCUUGAGAGUGCAUUUUCUUAUCUCAAAGGGAAACAUUUAGUGGAAUUAUAGGUAACAUAUAAAAAUUGACAAAUAUGUGUUUAUCCUUUUCUGUGAAUGAUGAUUGAACAAUUAAUUGCCUUACAAUAUCUUCAGAAUUUAGAAUUUAGCAAGAUUAAAAGAGACUUGGGAUAAAUGGGAGUAUAAUGAGCAGAAGUCAUUAUAAUAUUUCAAAGCAAUAAAGAUUUAUGGCAGGAGAAAAUCUGCAAGUGGAAGUGCUUAAGCAAAUCCAAGUGAGAUUAAGGCAAUGCUGUUGUGCAGGGCACAUGGUAUCACUUACAUUUUACACAGGGAUAUGUUGCACUUCUUCUUUAAAGGAAUCUGUAGGUGGUCAUUGCUAGGGGUGGCAGUGGCUUGACAGCAAGUCAAGGUUUGUAGAGAAGUUCAUGUGUUCAACAUUCUUAAAUAGCAUAACAUGAAAUGUAUCUUUAAUGUUUUAUGUUGCAAAUUGUGCAAAACAUGAAGAAGUCAUGGUUUUCUUACUGUGGUUGCUCUUGGGUGGUGCAGUUUGGUGAUUCUCCUGUUUAAGUCCAUAGCAUCAUAAUUUAUAUUGAGAUGGAAUACUGUUUUUAUUAAUUCCAUAGUAAACCCCAAACUAUUUAGAAGCAAAGUCUGUCCAGGGAUUUAAUAUUGUAUCCAACAUCAGUGCUAAAUAUACAAUGUUUAGAACAUCUUAGACAAGGUGUUAAAACUUACCUAUCUUGAAUAAUGCAUUUACAAAAUAAACAGUAUGAGUUUUAUUUAUCCAAGGGCUCUGAUGCUAUGCAAAAUGGCUCCCACUGCACCUUGCAGACAGUUCUGCAGCAAAAAUCAAUUCUGUCCCAAAUCUCUAGGUACAUACAGAAAUCUUGGGUUCAAGUGGAAAUAAGAUCUGCCGUACUAGAGAGGCUUCCCAAAUUAUUAGAGUUCCUGAAUAUUCUCAGAACAUCAAAAGUGACUGAACUUGCAAUUGAUUGAAAUAUAAGUUUUUCUCACAGAUUCUAAGUGAAAUGAAAGAAAAAUUCAAGUAAAUUUUUCAAAAUAAAAAAAAAAUCUUUGGUUUUCAACAAUAGUGUCUAGUUUGGAAGAUCUUGUUUCUUAAGUCAGCAGCAAGUAUGUUGUUAAUACUGACUUAACAGAUUAAAUCAGUACUUCUGGUUUUCCAAAGGGCUCUCAGCAUUAUUCCUGUACUCCUGCAUCUUCAUUAGUGGUAGGAGGUUUUUUUGUUCUUCUGACUGGAGCUCAGGAUCCUCUCCAGUUUUUUAUAGCAGUUCAAAAAUACAUUGUAAUAAAGUUGUCAGUACCUACUUUAAGAUUCCACUGGUUUUGAUACUAAGAAAACAGGACUGGUGACUAAGCAGCAGAAUUUUCCAAAAUAAGAGUGUAUAUGAAGUUUAGUGGUGAGGGUCUCUGGGCCUGAGGGUGCAGAAGUAAUAAAAAUUAUAACAUUUUCUCUUACAGGAGCCAGAGUGCCCAUUUAAAGCAUCCUGAAAGGUUCUUGUAGGAUGUUUGAUUCUCAGGGUGCAGCACAAGCAGAGUGUGUAAAUCCAAUAUCAGUAUGACAGAAAUGUACCAGACUGUGGCUCUGACCUGAGUGCUGUGGGUCCACCUAGCUGGCAUGUGAAUGUCUGGGCAGGGUUGCCUGUCAGUCCCAGGUAGCCAGUGGUAUGGAGUGCCAGAGCUCCUAGAACAAGGGGAGCCACAGGGCAUUACAGAUACAUAGAAAGGGUGUGUUUAAAUAGAUAUGGCCAUGCCCAGUUAGCCCAUGGUAAAAGAGAGAGUGAGCUCAGACUUUCCUUCCCCACUAUGUCAAAGGCAUAUUUGAACUUGAACAUUCAAUCUGUGCCAAAGAUGGAUCUUAGUUUGCUCACAGAAACAAGCUCGAGUUUGUGCAUUACAGACUAGGAUUGCUUUCCUUGGUGCUGUCUUCCAUGUAGGUGAAGUUCCUGACAAAUAUAUAUAAACCACAUAUAAAGUAUUUUGUCAAAAAAUUCAGUGUUACAUUCAGCCAGCAUUAUCAAUGCUUCUGUGUCCUUUAAAAUGACCUAUCUUGUGUGAAUUCAUGAAAAUUCUAAUAUUGCACAGUAGCAGUAAUCUUACUUUUUUUCUUCCCCUCUUUUAAGAUUUCUUCCCUGCAUUAUGGAGCAGUUGAAAGCACAGAGUUCAUUCCAUAUCAGAUUGACAGGGAUGAAUGAGUUUGAGUCAUAUCACAGACUUUUAAAUUUUAAACUAUAGAUACUUGUUUUCUUUUGUUAGGUACAGUCACUCUUUUCUAUCCCGAGGCACUCGGAAAACAAAUCUGAGUUAACAAGAGGUGUGAUUUUUUUUUUUUUUUUUAA